AGUUUGAUCCUGGCUCAGGAUGAACGCUAGCGGCAGGCUUAACACAUGCAAGUCGAGGGGCAGCAGUCUGUAGCAAUACGGAGCUGGCGACCGGCGCAAGGGUGCGUAACGCGUGAGCAACUUGCCCGUAACAGGAGGAUAACCGGAGGAAACUCCGACUAAUACUGCGUAGCAAUACCCGGUGGCAUCGCCGGGUGUUUAAAGGCGAAAGCCGGUUACGGAUAGGCUCGCGUGACAUUAGCUGGAUGGCGGGGUAACGGCCCACCAUGGCGACGAUGUCUAGGGGUUCUGAGAGGAAGGUCCCCCACACUGGUACUGAGACACGGACCAGACUCCUGCGGGAGGCAGCAGUAAGGGAUAUUGGGCAAUGGGGGCAACCCUGACCCAGCCAUGCCGCGUGAGGGAAUGAGGCCCUACGGGUCGUGAACCUCUUUUAUUCGGGGACAAGGACGCGCACGAGAUGCGCGUUUGAGGGUACCGAAGGAAUAAGCGUCGGCUAACUCCGUGCC
rnacentral:rRNA from 1 species